rnacentral:rRNA from 1 species
GACGAACGCUGGUGGCGUGCUUAACACAUGCAAGUCGAACGGGAUUUAGUAAGCAGAUGCCUCGGUGGAAGAUUACUAAUGAGAGUGGCGAACGGGUGAGUAACGCGUGAGCAUUCUGCCUAUGACCGUGGGAUAGCCUCGGGAAACCGGGAUUAUUACCGCAUAAAAUCGUAGAGACACAUGUUUUAACGGUCAUAGAUUUAUCGGUCAUAGAUGGGCUCGCGUCUGUUUAGCUAGUUGGUGAGAUAACAGCCCACCAAGGCGACGAUCAGUAGCCGGUCUGAGAGGAUGAACGGCCACAUUUGAACUGAGACACGGUCCAGACGACUACGGGAGGCAGGAGUGGGGAAUAAUGCACAAUGGGGGAGAGCCGGAUGCAGCGACGCGGCGUGAACGAAUAAUUUAUUCGUAUCGUAAAGUUCUGUCCUAUGUGAAGAUAAUGACAGUAGCAUAGAAGAAAGCUCCGGCUAAAUACGUG